GGUAUAUUGGGCUUCGUAUAUUUUACCCCAGUGUCACUUUGAUGGCAUGAACUGCUCUCACUCAAUAAUAAUAAUAAUAAUAAUAAUAAUAAUAAUAAUAAUAAUAAUAAUAAUUAUAAAACAAGAGUCAGAAGAUGGAGGGAAAGACAGAUGAUAAUGAAGUAGGGGCAGUCGAAAAUGGAAAAAGGGAUGGAAACAUUAAGGCAAAAGAUCUAGUGAACAAAAUGAAGAAGAAAAAAAGGCAAACCCUGCCAACAUAAUUGGUAGACCAAGAUCUAAGAGUGAGAGAAAGUUGUGGUGAAAGAGUAGAGCAGGGUUCGCCACCACCCCCUGCCGGAGCCUCGUGGAGCUUUAGGUAAUUUCGCUCAAAAUAAACACUCACAACACCCGGUCUGGGAAUCGAAACCGCGAUCCUAUGACGCGAGUCCGCUGCCCUAACCACUGGGCCUCCACUACAGCAACAUUGUAGACCAGGUAGAACUGCUAAUCGUCUGCACUAUUCUAUUUCCAGACUUACUUCUCGGGUUUAAAUAAUGAAAGAUGGUCUUUGAAUAAUUCGGGAGAUGCACGCAGAAAGGCAAGAAUCCAAACAAUAGAGCGUCUAUUUAUUCCUAAUACACCCUGGCAGAUUCGAACGUGAAUAUGCGAAUGACUGUUACUUUCCUUCAUCGGAAAACAUCCCCAUUUAGACGAUGUGUGUUCAUAAUACGCCUGAUUCACCGAAGACAAAUAUUUGAAUAUUUGUCGAAGAACCGCUGGAGUGGGUGGACUAUACGCCUUCCUUGUGCUAUUUCAUUGCGUCCCUUUAUGUUCUGAGUUCGAAACCCGUCUAGGUCAGUUUUGCUGUCCUUCCUUCCUUCUGGGGGGUGGGAGAAGGGUUGAUAAAAUAGGUAGCAGUGAAGUACUGAGAUUGAUACGAUUGACUAUAGUAUGCAUCUUCAACAUUUGAAUGUCUCUGUGUGUGUGCGAUAUUAAGCUGUGAAGGGCAUUGAAGCUUUGCACGUCUCUUCAAAGUCUUGGAAUUACGAACAGCAGACUCCAUCACUGUAUUUUUCUUAAACCUUCUUCUCUCAUCAUCAUCAUCUCUUUCUCUUUCUAUCAUACAGACCAACAAAUAUGUCUGUCGGUAUCUCUCUCUCACUCUCUCUCU